UUUUUUUUAGAUUUCGUAUAUAUGUGUUAGCGUACGGUAUUUGUUUUUCUCUUUGACUUUCUUCACUCUAUGACAGACUCUAGGUCCAUCCACGUAGAUGUGAGUAAUUUUUAUCCUUGCUUCCUUACCCCGUCAGCGUAAGAGCAGCUACCUUGAGCUAAAGGUAGUUAAAACAAUAAGCUCGGGGGUGGCGGGGGGAAGCCCACAUCCUUCAUCCUUGCUUUGGGGCUGAGACUUGAGCAUUUGCUCAAAGCCGUUUUCAGUCUUAACAUCUUUUACUGUUUGGGAUUUAGAAGUAGUCAGCUUUCCCAGGCUUUCAGGACCCAAAUUUCUGAACUGUAUUUCCUUUCAUUUCUGCUUGCAGACCGGCCAGUUCUUUCCUGAAGGCACGAAUGACAUCUUGCUAAAGGGGGAGAUAAAAGCCAACACACAGGGUUACCGGGAUGCCAUAUUCAGUUUUCAGACAUUUUCACCAACCGCAGUUGAGGACAACCGUGCGUGGGUGUCAACCAUGAUGUUGCUUUUCGAUUUGACUCCCUCCACUUCCUGCCAAGGAUUUUCUUUCUACGAGAAGGUUGAUGAGUAUCUGGGGAGGGCCCCAGAAGAAGGGUCGGCUAACGGCAAUAUCGGAAGAGUGUCUACUUCUGGAUGGUACUUCUAGCUUCUUUGAGAUCGAAAGGCAUGAUGCCCCUCAGCUUCGCAGGCCCGCCACCCUCUCCAUGUGGAUGAAGACCUUCGUAGACAAGAUGAGGGGCAUCGCAGCUGCUCUCCUCCUACCUGUACACUGCAGGAGCCCCGGACAGUCCCCUGCUUUUUACUGUGCCCCUGCCAUGGGUUGAACUGCAUCGCCCUAAAAGGUAUGUUGAAGUCCUACCCCCUGGAAAUUUUAAAUGUGACCUUAUUUAGAAAUAGGGUUUUUGCAGGUGCAGUUAAUUGAAGGUGAAAUCUUUAGGGUGAGCCCUAAUCCAAUCUGACUGGUGUUCUUAUAAGGAGAAGAGACAUGGAAACACACACACACAGGGAAGACAGCCAUGUGAGGAUGGAGGUGGAGAGUGGAGCGAUGCUGCCACAAGCCCAGGGCUGCCUGGGGACACCAGGAGCUGGAAAAGGCAAGGAAUCCUCCUCCCCUAGAGACUUUGGAGGGAGCGAGACCUUUGAUCUUUUUUCUUUUUCCGGCCACACAGCAUGUGGGAUUUUAGUUCCCUGACCAGGGAUUGAACCUGUGCCCCCUGCAGUGGAAGCACGGAGCCCUAACCACUGGACUGCCAGGGAAUUCCCUCAACACCUUGAUUUUGGACUUCUAGCCUCCAGAGCUGUGAGACAAUAAGUUUCUGUCGUUUUAAGCCGCCCAGUUUGUGGUGCUUUACUAUGGCAGGCUGAAGAAGCUAAUACACGUCCUAUAAUCACUUUUUAUGCACAACGGCCAGAGGAACCUUUGCAACUUAAGUCAGAUUGUGCCCUUUCUCUGCAUAAAAACCUCUUUUGAUUUUCCUCUGAAUUUAUGAUGAAAUCCAAGCUCUUUGCCAGGCGCAAUGAGGCCUUACACAUCUGGCCCUGAUGAUUUCUGGUCUCACCUCCUGCCCCCACCUCUGUUCCUCCUGUUUGUUUCUGGAACAGGGUUGCUGACUCUUUCCACUCACUGGGCCUGUGACCCUGAAGGAAUGAGUUGGAGUCACUAACCUCACCCCGAGUAUUGCUUCAUUUCCUCCAGAUCACAUAUCCCGACGUGGCAUUCCUGUACUAGCUCGUCAUUGGUCCCAGUCCCUCUAUGGUGAAGGUCGUGAGGUCUGAGCUCACCACGUUGCCAUGUCCUGUGUCCAGAACAGUGCUGGGCACAGCUAGAGUGGGAGCUUCAUAUAUAUUUGGAAAUGUGCUAGAUGCGUGCAUACAUAUUUGUUGCUUGAAUGAUACGUUGGAUGUGUGAUGGCGCUUUUGGAAAAUAAGGGAAGGAUGAAGACCGUACUUCCUUUAGAAGUUGUUGAUUGGUCAAAAUCAAACUUCUGAUUUAAGUGAUUUUGAAUGAUAAAUUCGAGAAGAAGUAAUGACGAAUUAGAAACCGACCAUGAAAAAACGAAUAUUUCAGCUGGAAGAUAGCGGUUUCAACAGGAGUAGGUUCGCUUGAUUUGAGCCCUGUUUUUAGCAAUCGCGAGGUUACUGUAGCUCUGAAUGGAAUUCUCACUGUGACGUGAGCAUGUGUCUUUUUCCAGACCCACAAAUUAUGCUGUGUACCCCGACCAGGAGGGUAAGGAAAGUUCUGGGAACUCAGGCAAAGCUGCCUCAGCCCUGCUCAGCUUUUGAAAGUCCCCCCAGCCUGGAGCUAAUGUACUUGGGCCACGCUUCACCUUCGUCUUCGCUGGAGUUUCCUCCUGACUUUGGUGAUUUCCUGGGUCUCUUGAGUUACCACAGCUCUUGCUGCAGGAUCCACCACAGCAGGGCUCCCAUACUGCGAAGCACCCAAGGCUCAAAGUAUUUCAUUUCAAUGAAAGAGGCUCCUUUUCUGUUUUCGUCCAGUGACCAAGGUGAACACAUGGGCCGUUAGCUCCAUUUUCGGAGGAGUUUUCAGAUCAUGCUUUAAAAAUCACGAAUGAAGUCAGCGCCUCCAUGGAACCUGGAGGCUUGCGUCCAGCAGCGUUCUUGUUUUCUCACUUGGAUGGGAAAGAGCUGUGGAGGUACCGUCCUCCCGGGAGUUCCGGAGUCUGAAAACAGAGGCCUUGGGUUGUAUGAAAAGUCUCUAUUCUUUCUUUAAAUAUUCACAGAGUCCCAUGCCAGAAAACAAGACAAGAUUGCUUUAUCAGUCACCCAACAGUGAGAGAGGAAAUCCGCCCACUUCUCCACGCUUCCUUUCAAAGUGACCUCAGCGACCCUGACGGAUUCAUGGAAUUAAUUAGAAACAACAGUAAGGAUGCCGUGGGAUGGGCGAUUUUGUCACUAGACGUUUCGGAACUUCCCUGAGGAGCCUCUGCUGCCUCAGACCCACCUCACUGCCCACGCACCCACCCUGCGAUGCAGACCCUCCCGGGAGGGGCUCAGACCAUCUUCCCCCUUGUUGCCGCCUUCCACGUGGGCCCUCCCGGGUCCCACAAACCCACCCGACAGGCUGCCGCUCCACUCAGGCGUCUGUAGGGGUCUGAGCUUAGUCAAGCCCUGCGGCCCCCUAAGCUCUCGCCCUGACCGCAGACCCUCACUGGGUCAAGGGUGGUCGACCAGCUCAAGACUCAGUUCCCCACAGAGGCCACGUCCUGUGAGGAAAAGGAAGAGAUGGAAACCUAGCCCUCAAGGGUCUGCUCAGGGCCAGGCACUGUGCUGGGAGGAAUCUUACUCCUGUGUGAUCUCAUUUCAUCAUGUAAGUGGCUCUUCAGUUAUAUAGAAGGAGAAACAGAGGCAGAAAGAUUAAAAAACGUAUUGACGGUUGCAUUGCAUUCCAGUGGUCUCCAGGGUAGGGUGGGUCCGCUCUAGGGAAGGUGGCAAAUUAAAUCUCAUUGAUUAACCACUAACCACAUGAGUGCUAUCUAGCUGGCCAGCUUCUAGAUUAAAUUGUGGCAGGUAAAUUAUUUGGAAAAAAAUAGUUGAUUUCCACAUGACCGCAUUGUCUCUGUGAAUUAAUGACAGAAAAAAGUUCUGUAUGUUCACAUGGGAUUCCAAGGUUAUUUCAAGAAUUAUUCACACAUGGGAAUAGUUUCACCUUCAGAACACAAACUCUUAGCUUUUGGAAUGUGGGCAUCUUAUCUGGCCCACCGAGAACCCCACUGAAAACAUAAAUAUCAUUCAAGUUCCCAUCUCAAUUCCUGGCUCUUUUUCCCUUAGGAAAGAUCUUCCAAAAUAUAUAGUGUUUUGGAUAUGUAUGUUAUUUUUUGUUGGGAAAUAACCAUAAUAGUCGCUAAUAUCUACAUGGCUCUUAUGGCGUGCCAGGCGUUGCCUUCAGUACUUUACAUAUAUUUCCUCAUUUAAUCACCAUAGCAAUCCUGUGAGGUAGAUAUCAUUCCUAUCUCCAUCUCACAUGUAAGGAAAUUGAGGCCCAGAUUGAGGCCCAGAGAGGUUAAGAAUUUGCCUGAGGACAAACAGCUGGUAGAUGGUAGAGCCAAGGCUUGCAGCCAGGCAGUCUGGGUUUAAAGUAUGCUCAGUCUGUGGAUUAUGAGACAGAUGGUGGGAUCACUGGGUUGUAUUACAGCAUGUCCAAAGCGAAAGGUAAGUGCACCAUUACGUAAAAAUAAUAGGUUAUGGAGAACUGACUAUAUACCAGGCUCUACAGUAACUCUUUAGAUGUAUUUAAUAUUCAUAACAAUCCCAGAUCUUUCUGACUACGGAGCCUGUAAUUUUGACCACCACCCUUCACUAUAUAGCCUUGGUUCAUAGUUGCUUUGCUUUGAGCUUCUUAGAUAUUUGUAAGGCUGAUUAUUUCUACAUGGGUUAGUUUAAUAUCUGUGUUAGGUGAUGUUUAUAGUCAAUAAUAGAUAAGCAAUCUGAACAAGUCUAACCAAAUGCAAAGAGAUAAUUUCAUUUGUUUUGAGCACUUAUAAAAUCCACAGCCAGGCAUAGCACAGGGAGCUCAGCUCAGUGCUUUGUGAUGACCU